rnacentral:rRNA from 1 species
GAGCGGCAAGUUGUAGCAAUACGGCUUAGAGCGGCGGACUGGUGAGUAAACGGUGGUGACAUACCUUAAGGUUGGGGAUAGCCAUUAGAAAUAGUGGGUAAUACCGAAUAUGGUUAUCGGGUUAUGACCUGGUAAAGAAAGGGGCUUCGGCCCCGCCUUGGGAUGGGCCCGCGUCCCAUUAGCUUGUUGGUGAGGUAAGAGCCCACCAAGGCGAUGAUGGGUAGCCGGCCUGAGAGGGUGAACGGCCACACUGGGACUGAGAUACGGCCCAGACUCCUACGGGAGGCAGCAGCUAAGAAUAUUCCGCAAUGGGUGAAAGCCUGACGGAGCGACGCCGCGUGGAUGAUGAAGGCCGUGAGGUUGUAAAGUCCUUUUGAACCUGACGAAUAAGCGCGGGAGGGAAUGCCCGCGUGGUGACGGUAGGGUUUGAAUAAGC